UUUCUGAGCAGCUGUAUGGGAGAGGUACAAGGGGUGGGGGACUGACGGUAUAAAAGAGAAAUCUGCCCUCCCCCUCCCCUGGUGGCCAUCGUUGGAGACCAAUACCAGCUUCCCCAUCCCGGAGAAACACUAGAAGUCAAGCAGGGGUGGUGGGGCACGAGGCUGAAGAGGUUAUGGCGGGCAAGGUCACAGAGCGCUUCAAAUGCCAGUGCCUGGAGGUUGGACUCUGUCCUGAGGGUAAGGAGAUUCCCAUUUUCCAGACGAGGAAACUGAGACCCAAAGAGUAACUUGCCCAGGGUCACCUCCAACAUGCAGACCCCUGCCAUGAUGUCUCUGCUGCUCGUGUCCAUGGGCCUCAUGGAAGCACUUCAGGCCCAGAGCCACCCCAUCACACGACGGGACCUCUUCUCUCGAGAAACGCCCCUGGACAUGGCCCUGGCCUCCUUUGACGACCAGUAUGCUGGCUGUGCCACAGCCAUGGCGGCGGCUCUCCCAGAUCUCAACCGCACGGAGUUCCAGACCAACAAAGUGUACGCCAAUGUCUGGGCUCAGGCAAGCAGCCAGUGGCAGGAGCGCCAGGCCUGGGGGCCCAAGUGGGGCCUCAGCCCUACCCGUCUGCCCCCGCCCGCGGGCUUCCGAGAAGAGCACGGGGUGGCCCUCCUGGCCUACACGGCUAACAGCCCCCUGCACAAAGAAUUCAACGCGGCCGUGCGCGAGGCUGGCCGCUCCCGGGCCCACUACCUCCACCACUUCUCCUUCAAGACACUCCACUUCCUGCUGACCGAGGCCCUGCAGCUGCUGGGCAGGGGCCAGCGUCCACCCCAGUGCCGCCAGGUGUUCCGAGGGGUGCAGGGCCUGCGCUUCCGGCCAGCGGGGCCCGGGGCCACCGUCAGGCUGGGGGGCUUUGCCUCUGCAUCCCUGCAGAAUGCUGCAGCCCAGCAGUUUGGGGAAGACACCUUCUUUGGCAUCUGGACCUGCCUCGGGGCCCCUAUCAAGGGCUACUCCUUUUUCCCCGGGGAGGAGGAGGUGCUGAUCCCUCCCUUCGAGACCUUCCAGGUGAUCAAUGCCAGCAGACCGGCCCAGGGCCCCGCCCGCAUCUACCUCCGGGCCCUGGGCCAGCGCAGCACAUACAACUGCGAGUACAUCAAAGACAAGCAGUGCAAGUCAAGGCCCUGCCGUCUGGAUAACUCAGCCAUGGGUCAGGGCCCCCUUUCUGCAGUCUGGUCCCUUCUACUGCUGCUCUGGUUCCUUGUUGGAGAAGCCUUUCCAGAGAGUCCAGGACUCCUCUAAUCCAUCAGCCACUGAACAGCUCUGCCGUCACCUCUGCCCAACAUGAGGAUGUCAGCCACGUAGCACUCUGUGCCCGCAUCCUGUCAGUCAUACUGCUGAAUGCUCUUGAAUGCUUCAUCACCUCUCCAGCUCGGGCCCAUCCUCCCUGCAUAUGGACCACGGCAGCAGCAGCCUCCUCCCUGCUCUUCCACCUCGGGCUCACCUCUCUAACCACCUGCCACACUUCCGAGAGAUCAAGCUUUUAAACAAAUGAAUCUGACUAGACCAGUAGCUGCUUAAACCUGUUCAGUGGCUCCCAAGGCCUGCUAGAAAAAGCCCAAACUCACCCUUCGCGGUCUGGUCCCCCUGGCUUUUCCAGCCCUAUCCCUGGGAGCUGCCCCGUCAACUGCUCCCGCCCCAGUCAGGCAAGCCCCCUCUUGCCCUCUUCAGCUCCCCCUCCUCCACACUGCCCAGAUAGCGCUUGCUCCCAGCACAGAAAUGAAGAGAGAGCACGUGGAGAGAGGUUUGGGGAGGAUGGGAACAGCAGCAAUGCCCAGAGAGGCCAGGGCUGGUUUACUGAGCUUCAUACCUGGCAGUAGUGGAAGCAGGAGGAGAAGGCCCAGGCUGGAGACAGAGAAGCUGAGGCCGAGGCGGUGGCUCCCGGGCCCCAUGGCCUUGCCGCAGCCAGAGGAAGGGCAGGUCUCUGGGGGUGAGCCUCCUGGCCUGACCUACGGCAGCAUCAGGCCCUGCUGGCAAGGAUGGUGUGGACAAUCCCUGCACGUCAGAAGGAAGACUGGGAUCUCUGUUGAGUCCAGCUACCCUGCAGGGAGUCCUGCAACCCUUCCAGUUACCUGACCCUGCUAUUUGUACCUGCCCUGGGAUUUUAGUACUUGGGCCUCGGCAUCUACUGUUUCUCCUUCUCUGCUGGUCUUUGCCUCUUCUGGCCUCUGCCUCUGCCCUGUUCUUCACCCCCCACCCCCUUUACCUCUCACUCAGACUCUGUCUCGAUUUCCUUCUAUCCGUCCCUCUGUAACUCUUUCUUGGUCUCUGCCUCCCUGACUCUGGUCUUCCUCUUUCCACUCUCUCUUCCUUUCUCCUGCCUCUAUUUCAGCCCCCUUGACUUCCUCAAGGCCUUCCCCACACCUGACUCUGGGGGAGCCUGGCGCAUUCUCAGCAGGACAGGGACAGGGACUCCAUCAGCCCUGAACCUUCUGAGGCACAGGACAGCAGGCCACGCCCCCUUUACCUUUCAUUAGCUUAAUUAUAGAGUUGGGACACCUGUGUCCAUGGGAACAGAGCAACUGAAACUGACACCUCAGGUCACUGGGACCUGAAUUAUUCAAAUUCUGUAAGGUAGCACCCUCGCUCAGGUCAGGCCCAGCUUGGGGGAUUGGAGGGUACAGAGAUGCCAGGUCAGGAUCUGCAAGAGACUGGGGCUUAAAGGUGUGAGGGGACAGGGCCAGUGGAUGGAAACUGUCCUCCCAGCUCUGUCAUCAUUACUGAAUUCUUGAGGCUCCCUUUCGUCUGUCAGCUGUGCCCUCAGUUAGGGACUGAACACAUCUGUCUAGGCUGGUGCUUUUGCCAAGCAAGCUCUCCCCUCCCAGUGAGAGGGGUGCCAAGCCUCAGGCUGCUCCAGGUGGCCCCACAAAGCAGGGGAUGCAGCCUGCAUCCUCGCCAUCCCACAGCCAUCCCAGUCUGAGCCUCAGUAUUCUCCCUAUGCUUAAACAUCACGGGCGGUAUUGGACCGCAGGGAAAACACAGCCUUUAUUUAUUUAUUUAUUUUUAACAUCUUUAUUGGAGUAUAAUUGCUUUACAAUGGUUAGUUUCUGCUUUAUAACAAAAUGAAUCAGCUAUACAUAUACAUAUAUCCCCAUAUCUGCUCCUUCUUGCGUCUCCCUCCCACCCCUCUAGGUGGUCACAAAGCACCGAGCUGAUCUCCCUGUGCUAUGCGGCUGCUUCCCACUAGCUACCGAUUUUACAUUUGGUAGUGUAUAUAUGUCCAUGCCACUCUCUCACUUCGUCCCAGCUUACCCUUCCCCCUCCCCGUGUCCUCAAGUCCACUCUCUACGUCUGUCUUUAUUCCUGUCCCGCCCCUAGGUUCUUCAGAACCAAUUUUUUUUUUUUUUAGAUUUCAUAUAUAUGUGUUAGCAUACAGUAUUUGUUUUUCUCUUUCAGACUUACUUCACUCUGUAUGACAGACUGUAGGUCCAUCCACCUCACUACAAAUAACUCAAUUUCGUUUCUUUUUAUGGCUGAGUAAUAUUCCAUUGUAUGUAUGUGCCACAACUUCUUUAUCCAUUCAUCUAUCGAUGGACACUUAGAUUGCUUCCAUGACCUGGCUAUUGUAAACAGAGCUGCAAUGAACAUUGUGGUGCAUGACUCUUUUUGAAUUAUGGUUUUCUCAGGGUAUAUGCCCAGUAGUGGGAUUGCUGGGUCGUAUGGUAGUUCUAUUUUUAGUUUUUUAAGGAACCUCCAUACUGUUCUCCAUAGUGGCUGUAUCAAUUUACAUUCCCACCAACAGUGCAAGAGGGUUCCCUU